CGGCGCGGUCCCCGCCCGCUUUUGUUUACAUCGCCCGGGAGCGGCAGCCGCCGCCGCGCUCUUAUCUGCGCGCGCCCGGGUUCAGUUUCCCGGAGGGACCGAGGGACGGAGGCCCAGCCCCGCGCCCACAGCGGCCUGGGGCCCAGGGAGGGCGGGUCCUGGCGCGGGGUCACCGCCUAGGACGGUCGCCCGGGCCGUGAGGACUGGACGCCCGCAAAUCCGGGCGGGUGGGGGCCUCUGACGUCCCCCGAGGUGGGGCACGGGGCGGGCGGGUCCGCGCUGCGGGCUGGAGGGGCGGGCGCGGGAGUGGAGCGUCCUGAGCGCACCCCCCGCAGCCCUGUCCAGCCUGGACGGCGACCUGGCGGGCCGGUACUACGCGCUCAAGAGCAUGACGGAGGCGGAGCAGCAGCAGCUCAUCGACGACCAUUUCCUUUUCGACAAGCCCGUGUCGCCCCUGCUGCUGGCCUCGGGCAUGGCCCGCGACUGGCCCGACGCCCGCGGUAUCUGGCACAAUGACAAUAAGACCUUCCUGGUGUGGGUCAACGAGGAGGACCACCUGCGGGUCAUCUCCAUGCAGAAGGGGGGCAACAUGAAGGAGGUGUUCACCCGCUUCUGCACCGGCCUCACCCAGAUUGAAACUCUCUUCAAGUCUAAGGACUAUGAGUUCAUGUGGAACCCUCACCUGGGCUACAUCCUCACCUGCCCAUCCAACCUGGGCACAGGGCUGCGGGCAGGUGUGCAUAUCAAGCUGCCCCACCUGGGCAAGCAUGAGAAGUUCUCGGAGGUGCUUAAGCGGCUGCGACUUCAGAAGCGAGGCACCGGCGGUGUGGACACCGCUGCGGUGGGCGGGGUCUUCGACGUCUCCAACGCUGACCGCCUGGGCUUCUCAGAGGUGGAGCUGGUGCAGAUGGUGGUGGACGGAGUGAAGCUGCUCAUCGAGAUGGAGCAGCGGCUGGAGCAGGGCCAGGCCAUCGACGACCUCAUGCCUGCCCAGAAGUGAAGCCCGGCCCACACCCGACACCAGCCCUGCCGCUUCCUAACUUAUUGCCUGGGCAGUGCCCACCAUGCACCCCUGAUGUUCGCCAUCUGGCGAGCCCUUAGCCUUGCUGUAGAGACUUCCGUCACCCUUGGUAGAGUUUAUUUUUUUGAUGGCUAAGAUACUGCUGAUG
rnacentral:sRNA from 1 species